rnacentral:rRNA from 1 species
UUAAGCGACUAAGCGUACACGGUGGAUGCCCUGGCAGUCAGAGGCGAUGAAGGACGUGCUAAUCUGCGAUAAGCGUCGGUGAGGUGAUAUGAACCGUUAUAACCGGCGAUUUCCGAAUGGGGAAACCCAGUGUGAUUCGUCACACUAUCAUUAACUGAAUCCAUAGGUUAAUGAGGCGAACCGGGGGAACUGAAACAUCUAAGUACCCCGAGGAAAAGAAAUCAACCGAGAUUCCCCCAGUAGCGGCGAGCGAACGGGGAGGAGCCCAGAGCCUGAAUCAGUGUGUGUGUUAGUGGAAGCGUCUGGAAAGGCGUGCGAUACAGGGUGACAGCCCCGUACACAAAAAUGCACAUGCUGUGAGCUCGAUGAGUAGGGCGGGACACGUGGUAUCCUGUCUGAAUAUGGGGGGACCAUCCUCCAAGGCUAAAUACUCCUGACUGACCGAUAGUGAACCAGUACCGUGAGGGAAAGGCGAAAAGAACCCCGGCGAGGGGAGUGAAAAAGAACCUGAAACCGUGUACGUACAAGCAGUGGGAGCCUCUUAAUGGGGUGACUGCGUACCUUUUGUAUAAUGGGUCAGCGACUUAUAUUCUGUAGCAAGGUUAACCGAAUAGGGGAGCAGAAGGGAAACCGAGUCUUAACUGGGCGUUAAGUUGCAGGGUAUAGACCCGAAACCCGGUGAUCUAGCCAUGGGCAGGUUGAAGGUUGGGUAACACUAACUGGAGGACCGAACCGACUAAUGUUGAAAAAUUAGCGGAUGACUUGUGGCUGGGGGUGAAAGGCCAAUCAAACCGGGAGAUAGCUGGUUCUCCCCGAAAGCUAUUUAGGUAGCGCCUCGUGAAUUCAUCUCCGGGGGUAGAGCACUGUUUCGGCAAGGGGGUCAUCCCGACUUACCAACCCGAUGCAAACUGCGAAUACCGGAGAAUGUUAUCACGGGAGACACACGGCGGGUGCUAACGUCCGUCGUGAAGAGGGAAACAACCCAGACCGCCAGCUAAGGUCCCAAAGUCAUGGUUAAGUGGGAAACGAUGUGGGAAGGCCCAGACAGCCAGGAUGUUGGCUUAGAAGCAGCCAUCAUUUAAAGAAAGCGUAAUAGCUCACUGGUCGAGUCGGCCUGCGCGGAAGAUGUAACGGGGCUAAACCAUGCACCGAAGCUGCGGCAGCGACACUAUGUGUUGUUGGGUAGGGGAGCGUUCUGUAAGCCUGUGAAGGUGGCCUGUGAGGGUUGCUGGAGGUAUCAGAAGUGCGAAUGCUGACAUAAGUAACGAUAAAGCGGGUGAAAAGCCCGCUCGCCGGAAGACCAAGGGUUCCUGUCCAACGUUAAUCGGGGCAGGGUGAGUCGACCCCUAAGGCGAGGCCGAAAGGCGUAGUCGAUGGGAAACAGGUUAAUAUUCCUGUACUUGGUGUUACUGCGAAGGGGGGACGGAGAAGGCUAUGUUGGCCGGGCGACGGUUGUCCCGGUUUAAGCGUGUAGGCUGGUUUUCCAGGCAAAUCCGGAAAACCAAGGCUGAGGCGUGAUGACGAAGCACUACGGUGCUGAAGCGACAAAUGCCCUGCUUCCAGGAAAAGCCUCUAAGCAUCAGGUAACAUCAAAUCGUACCCCAAACCGACACAGGUGGUCAGGUAGAGAAUACCAAGGCGCUUGAGAGAACUCGGGUGAAGGAACUAGGCAAAAUGGUGCCGUAACUUCGGGAGAAGGCACGCUGAUAUGUAGGUGAAGCGACUUGCUCGUGGAGCUGAAAUCAGUCGAAGAUACCAGCUGGCUGCAACUGUUUAUUAAAAACACAGCACUGUGCAAACACGAAAGUGGACGUAUACGGUGUGACGCCUGCCCGGUGCCGGAAGGUUAAUUGAUGGGGUUAGCGGUAACGCGAAGCUCUUGAUCGAAGCCCCGGUAAACGGCGGCCGUAACUAUAACGGUCCUAAGGUAGCGAAAUUCCUUGUCGGGUAAGUUCCGACCUGCACGAAUGGCGUAAUGAUGGCCAGGCUGUCUCCACCCGAGACUCAGUGAAAUUGAACUCGCUGUGAAGAUGCAGUGUACCCGCGGCAAGACGGAAAGACCCCGUGAACCUUUACUAUAGCUUGACACUGAACAUUGAGCCUUGAUGUGUAGGAUAGGUGGGAGGCUUUGAAGUGUGGACGCCAGUCUGCAUGGAGCCGACCUUGAAAUACCACCCUUUAAUGUUUGAUGUUCUAACGUUGGCCCGUAAUCCGGGUUGCGGACAGUGUCUGGUGGGUAGUUUGACUGGGGCGGUCUCCUCCUAAAGAGUAACGGAGGAGCACGAAGGUUGGCUAAUCCUGGUCGGACAUCAGGAGGUUAGUGCAAUGGCAUAAGCCAGCUUGACUGCGAGCGUGACGGCGCGAGCAGGUGCGAAAGCAGGUCAUAGUGAUCCGGUGGUUCUGAAUGGAAGGGCCAUCGCUCAACGGAUAAAAGGUACUCCGGGGAUAACAGGCUGAUACCGCCCAAGAGUUCAUAUCGACGGCGGUGUUUGGCACCUCGAUGUCGGCUCAUCACAUCCUGGGGCUGAAGUAGGUCCCAAGGGUAUGGCUGUUCGCCAUUUAAAGUGGUACGCGAGCUGGGUUUAGAACGUCGUGAGACAGUUCGGUCCCUAUCUGCCGUGGGCGCUGGAGAACUGAGGGGGGCUGCUCCUAGUACGAGAGGACCGGAGUGGACGCAUCACUGGUGUUCGGGUUGUCAUGCCAAUGGCACUGCCCGGUAGCUAAAUGCGGAAGAGAUAAGUGCUGAAAGCAUCUAAGCACGAAACUUGCCCCGAGAUGAGUUCUCCCUGAGACUUAGAGUCUCCUGAAGGAACGUUGAAGACGACGACGUUGAUAGGCCGGGUGUGUAAGCGCAGCGAUGCGUUGAGCUAACCGGUACUAAUGAACCGUGAGGCUUAACCUU